rnacentral:lncRNA from 1 species
ACUUGGUCUUCCGGCACCAUCUUGCUUUGCUGUCUGCAGCUUUGACCGUAGGAAAGGGCAACUGCUAGAGCCAUGAAGCUCCUCAGCAGGGCCGGGUCCUUCUCGAGAUUUUAUUCCCUCAAAGUUGCCCCAAAGCUUAAAACUUCAGCCCCUGGAGGAGUGCCUCUGCAGCCUCAGGAACUUGAGUUUACCAAAUUACCAAAUGGUUUGGUGAUUGCUUCUCUGGAAAACUAUGCUCCACUAUCAAGAAUUGGCUUAUUCAUUAAAGCAGGCAGUAGAUAUGAGAACUACAACUACUUGGGAACCUCUCAUUUACUACGUCUUGCAUCUACUUUGACUACCAAAGGAGCUUCAUCUUUCAAGAUCACCCGUGGAAUUGAAGCAGUUGGUGGUAAAUUAAGGGUUCCCAGCAUUGACAUUUGAUCAUCAUUACCUCCGCCCACCUCUGAGAUGUCACUGUUGUGCUCAACUGAAACUCUCCCAAUAAGCUGUGACCUUCUGUCCCCUUCGCCCUUGGCCACCAUCCUGUUUUGUCUGAUUUUGACAGUACUUGUGUUGAAAUGUUAGCUUUACAUUUUGCUGUCAUUUUGUUCUUUGUAUGAAUAAACCAUUCAAACU